rnacentral:rRNA from 1 species
GUACUCUGACCGUGCAAAGGUAGCGUAAUCAUUUGUUUUCUAAUUAAAGACCUGUAUGAAUGACCCCACGAGGGCCGUACUGUCUCCUCUCUCCAAUCAGUGAAACUAAUCUCCUCGUCCAAAAGCGAGAAUCACCCUAUUAGACGAAAAGACCCUGUGGAGCUUAAACAAUCUAGCAAUUGUCUAACAAUUAUUUUACACUCCAGACAAGAUGACUUCUAGUUUUUGGUUGGGGCGACCAUGGAGAAAAAUAAAUCCUCCAAGAUGAAUAAGAACCUUUCUUUAACUAUAAGCCACAGCUUUUAGUAUCAGCAUACUGACAUCAAUUGACCCUUCUUGAUCAACGAACCUAGUUACCCCAGGGAUAACAGCGCAAUCUUCUUCGAGAGUACAUAUCGACAAGCAGGUUUACGACCUCGAUGUUGGAUCAGAAUAUCCCAGUGGUGU